CUUCACUGUUAAGUCUCUGUUUUUUCUCUGUUCUCACCACAAAAUUAAUUUAUUAUUCACAAUCUCUUCUUCGUAGAAGGAAAAAAAUGGAAGAACAGUACAAGAACAAGAAGAAGCAAAGUUAUCUUCCUCCACCAAAACGAGGACAAAUAAUGGUGAAAAUUGUUAAUUCUUUGAUUAAAUCUGUAUCGGAAUUUGUUUAUGGUGGAUCGGAAAACAAAAAGGGGAAUGAAAAAACUCCGGGAGGAUCUCCGAUUAGUUUUGAUUCUGAUGGAUCAUAUAUUCAUAUCGAUGAUUAGUGUUUUUUUUUUUUUUGAAGCUGAGGAAUUUUUAUGUAAAUAAUAAUGGGAAAUUCUGUUUCCCCUGUUUUUUUUUUCCUCAUAGCUUCAAGCUUAUAGUAUACCUUUAUUUAUUUAAUUAAAAUUUCUUUAUUUUUAGUUUUUUUUUUUUUAAUUUCAAGAGUGUAUGAUCUAUUGAUUAUAUGAAAUAGAAAUGAGCCUCUUUGUUGUUUAAA